CAUUAAGGAUCGGAGUUGUGUAAAAAUGGAAGUAACCUAUUUUCAUUUUGACACACCAACGCAGUCUACAAGUAAAUAGAUUUGUGAGGGAGUAGGGUUUUGCUGGUAAUUGGGUGUUCCAUAAUCCAAAGAAACUUCUUCGAUGCUUCUGCUUCCUGCCAAUUCUUUGUAUAGUUUCUUUUACUCGUGAACAUACUCCGAUUGCGUGAGAUUUUUAUAUCUAUAAAAGGCACACAAUUCCAUCUUCUUUUAAAAAAUGUGCUAUAAUCUUUCUUUUUCACAAGACAGGUAAAAUCUGUGUUUACACAACCACCCUACUUUGUAAUUUCAAAAGCAGAAGAGAAAGAUUUGAGAUAAUCAUCAAUUUCUCCAAUGUGAAUGUUAGGGAUGAUUACAAAGCGACCAGAUCAGAGAUCUUCUUCGUCAAAUGUAUGAUACCGCACGAUGAAGAGAAAUUGAGAAUCAAUUUAGUGAAUAAAUGGGUCAUACUGUUUGAAAGUAUUGGUAGUGUAAGAUGAAGACGUUGCAGAGUUAGAACAACGAUCGUGUACAUGUUAACUUUCGAGUGAUCAAUCAAUGAACGGGGCAAUUCUGAAACCAAAUCGUUGAAUUCACCACCAAGAAAAGAGCCCCAAAUCGAACUCCAAUUCUCAAUCUAGUAUCCCAUGAAUUAAUCCAUUGUAAAAAAUAUUAUAUACUUUGGGGGCAUCAAGAUUACCACAUCAAUUGUGCAUUUGUGAUAUGAGGUUUAAAGUUUCAAAGAGAGUGCAACUUUACUCAGGUUAAGGAUUUCAAUUAUGGAUCUUUCAUGCUUCAAGCCAAUGACAACUCCUUUAAAGCAAAGUUUUAGGACAUAUACUUUUAUGAACCAAGUUUAACCUAAUGUGGAUACCAAGGUCGCACCAAUAGUUAUAGGACUGACAAGGGCUAUUGGGCCUAGAACAAGCAAUAGGACCAGGUUAAUUUGGGAUACGGGUCGAGUAGUGGAUGUGAGAAUGAUUCCAUCAAAAGGUGCAACGAUCACUGAUUUAGGGAUUAUACAUAUUGAAGAAAAUAUUUUUCGUCUCCUCUUCUUCUAGAAUCUAAAGUUUCUCAUCUCCUGUUCUUCUUUUAUCUUUAAUUAUUUGUUAUUUCAAUAUUUCCAUUAUAAUUUGGUAGUUUGAUUAUUGCAAUCAAAAUCUUAAGGUUGUAAUCGUAUUCCACUGUUCUUAUCAAUAUAGUGAAAAUUUCGAUUUGUUAGAUAUACAAU